AGUAUACAAAUGCGGUUCUAAGUGUUAACAUAGGUUAUUCGAAUGUUUAAUAAUGAUAUGAUAACAACAAAUAUAUUAGGAACAACGAAUGUGUUUUUGACGUAGUCAAUACACGAUUCUAUUUCAUGAUUUAUCUGUGGUCGUUUCAUUUAUUAUACUAAGUUAUUAAUAAGUUAAGUUGUUAAGUUAAUAAUAAGUUGUAAAUAAUGGCUGAGAAGGAAAGUGAUAGUACGACAAGUGAGGUUAUAAAAACUGAAGAAUUACCUGAUAACACAGCAAAUGAGGAAGCACCAACAAGUUUGGAAAAUAUAUCACAGGAUACUAAUACUACUAGAAACGAUAGUCCCCCAGUUGCUUCAAAAGAUAAAGAAAGAGUUACAGUUGAUAUUUUAUUGAAAGCAACUGGCAAUGCACCUAUCAUGAAACAAAAAAAAUGGUCCGUUAAUCAGGAUUAUCAUAUUGGAAAGGUAUCAGAUUUUCUAAAGAAAUAUCUCAAAUUAGAGCCUUCUGAAAGAUUAUUUCUUUAUGUAAAUCAAACUUUUGCACCGGCACCAGAUCAAACGUUAAAAAACUUAUACGAUUGUUAUGGAGCUGAUGGAAAAUUGAUUAUUCAUUAUUGCAAAAGUCCAGCGUGGGGUUAAUCGUAAACUUCCUGUUUGAAGUUUGAGCAUCUUGUUGUAUCAUUUUAUUACGGAGACGCACGGCGUUGGCUAGACGAUGAUACGGAGUUUGUCGUUUCAAUUGCCUUUGCCGGGCUACAUUUAGAACUAAGCAAUGAUUUUUUUUCCAUCUUAUUCGCGCGACUACAAACAUUAGAGGAUACUUCAGUUUUCACAGUUCUUACCUGAAAUACAAAAUAUUUAUUAAGUCGUAUACUAAGAGAACAUAAUUAAUGUUAUUUUUACAUAAAAUCAAAUUUAGCAUUUUAAUUAGAAUUUAAUUGUACCAACCGAUAUUGUGUCUUUGUCUUUGAUGCACGUGCAAACUGGGGAAGGUAUACCAGCUGGAUCGCGCGUACAUGGCUGUGGCUGAUCAUCACCUAUGAUAUAUUUAUAUUAAAUUUAAUAGAAUUACUUUAUUCAUCGAAAUACGUUGAAUCGUAUGAAUAAUAAUUUUAAUUUUGUUAAUACCAUGGUACAUAGUUCUAACACUUUCAGCAGUCUCAUCCACACGGCUCAUAGCAGAAACAUGUUCUUUCUCUAAAUUGUCCAACUUUAAAUCGUCGUCGCGUUUCCCUUCAGAUUUCGUUAAUGAUUUAACGGUAUGUGCCGUCGUAGAUUUCGAUUUGAUGGAUGGUGUUUUAAGAGACGUCUUAAAUGGAAACUUCCAAAUAAUGAUAGCGCCAUCGGCACUAACGGAUACCACAUGUUCCCCGUCUGGGCUAAAUUUACACGCAGUUAUUAUCGCGGCAUGACCUAUGCCAAUGUGUGUGACAUUGGCUGUAUGAUAUUCCCAGAGCUUAACAAUACAAUCGUUUGAACCAGUGACGAAGUAUUGUCCAUCAAGAUUAAUGUCUAUGCAAUUUAAUGAUCCUGAGGUGGAACCUUCAACUUCACGAACCAACGAACCAUCCCAUGUUUCCCAGUAUGCAAUCUUACGAUCAGUACCACAAGUCAAGAUUUGUAUGCUGUUGGGACUAAAGCAUGCAGCCAUAUACAUCGUGUUACCCAUUAAAACUUGCUUCCUCGA